rnacentral:rRNA from 1 species
UACAGAGGUCUCAAGCGUUGUUCGGAUUCAUUGGGCGUAAAGGGUGCGUAGGUGGCGUGGUAAGUCGGGUGUGAAAUUUCGGAGCUUAACUCCGAAACUGCAUUCGAUACUGCCGUGCUUGAGGACUGGAGAGGAGACUGGAAUUUACGGUGUAGCGGUGAAAUGCGUAGAUAUCGUAAGGAAGACCAGUGGCGAAGGCGGGUCUCUGGACAGUUCCUGACGCUGAGGCACGAAGGCAGGGGAGCAAACGGG